rnacentral:rRNA from 1 species
AUUGAACGCUGGCGGCAGGCCUAACACAUGCAAGUCGAACGAGUGGCGGACGGGCGAGUAAUGUCUGGGAAACUGCCCGAUGGAGGGGUCUAACUACUGGAAACGGUAGCUAAUAACGCAUACCAUCGUAUGGUCCCAGAUGGUAUUAGCUAGUAGGGGGGGUAACGGCGCACCUAGGCGCCGAUCCCUAGCUGGUCUGCGAGGUGGACCAGCCACAAUGGAACUGAGACACGGUCCAGACUCCUACGGGAGGAAGCAGUGGGGAAUAUUGCACAAUGGGCGCAAGCCUGAGGCAGCCAUGCUGCGUGUAUGAAGAAGGCCUUCGGGUUGUAAAGUACUUUCAGCGAGGAGGCGUUACUCGCAGAAGAAGCCCCGGCUAACUCCGUGCCAGCAGCCGCGGUAAUUC